rnacentral:misc_RNA from 1 species
GAUGAAGAACGUAGCGAAAUGCGAUAAGUAGUGUGAAUUGCAGAAUUCAGUGAAUCAUCGAGUCUUUGAACGCACAUUGCGCCCCCUGGUAUUCCGGGGGGCAUGCCUGUCCGAGCGUCAUUGCCGCCCUCAAGCACGGCUUGUGUGUUGGGCCCCCGCCCCCCGGCUUCGGGGGGCGGGCCCGAAAGGCAGCGGCGGCACCGCGUCCGGUCCUCGAGCGUAUGGGGCUUCGUCACCCGCUCUGUAGGCCCGGCCGGCGCCCGCCGGCGACCCCAAUCAAUCUUUCCAGGUUGACCUCGGAUCAGGUAGGGAUACCCGCUGAACUUAAGCAUAUCAAUAAGCGGAGGA